AUACGAAGGGGGCAAGCGUUAAUCGGAAUUACUGGGCGUAAAGCGCGCGUAGGUGGUUUUGUAAGUUGGAGGUGAAAGCCCCGGGCUCAACCUGGGAAUUGCCUCCAAAACUGCAUGACUAGAGUACGGUAGAGGGUAGUGGAAUUUCCUGUGUAGCGGUGAAAUGCGUAGAGAUAGGAAGGAACACCAGUGGCGAAGGCGACUUCCUGGACUGAUUCUGACCCUGAGGUGGCAAAGCGUGGGGAGCAACAAGGAUUAGAUACCCUGGUAGUCCACGCCGUAAACGAUGUCAACUAGCCGUUGGGAUCCUUGAGAUCUUAGUGGCGCAGCUAACGCAUUAAGUUUACCGCCUGGGGAGUACGGCCGCAAGGUUAAAACUCAAAUGAAUUGACGGGG
rnacentral:rRNA from 1 species